rnacentral:rRNA from 1 species
AAGUUUUCGGUUCGGCCGGACGAAAACCCAGGUGCUGCAUGGCUGUCGUCAGCUCGUGUCGUGAGAUGUUGGGUUAGUCCCGCAACGAGCGCAACCCUCACUUUUAGUUGCCAUCAUUUAGUUGGGCACUCUGAAAGAACUGCCAGUGAUAAGCUGGAGGAAGGUGGGGAUGACGUCAAGUCCUCAUGGCCCUUACGUGUUGGGCUACACACGUGCUACAAUGGUAUCUACAACAGGAAGCAAGACGGCGACGUUAAGCAAAUCCUCAAAAGAUACCUCAGUUCGGAUUGCACUCUGCAACUCGAGUGCAUGAAGCUGGAAUUACUAGUAAUCGUGGAUCAGCGUGCCACGGUGAAUGCGUUCCCGGGUCUUGUACACACCGCCCGUCACACCAUGGGAGUUGGUUCUACCUUAAGGCAAGGUUUAAAACCCUUGACCACGGUAUAGUCAGCGACUGGGGUGAAGUCGUAACAAGGUA